GUCUUUAUGAAAUUAAAUAUAAGGUCUGGCCUGCCCACUGAGUAAUUUGAAGGGCCGCGGUAUUCUAACCGUGCGAAGGUAGCAUAGUCAAUAGUCUUUUAAUUGAAGGCUGGAAUGAAUGGUCGGACAUGAAGAAAGCUGUCUUUACUAGUUUAAAUGAAAUUAACUUUUGUGUGAGAAGGCAUAAAUAAUUUAGAGGGACGAUAAGACCCUAUAAAACUUGAUGUAUGAAUAUCUGAUACUUUAAUUUUAAGUUUAAAGGAGUGUUAAGUAAGUACAUUGUGCUGGGGCGGCAAGAAUAUAUAGUGAACUGUUCUUAUUUAGGUAAUAAAAAUAAUUAGAUUUUGACCCUAAAGUUUGGGUUAUAAGUUUAAGUUACUUUAGGGAUAACAGCGUUAUUUCUCUUGAGAGUUCAUAUCGACAGAGACAUUUGCGACCUCGAUGUUGAAUUAAAACUUUCUCCAGGGGCAGGAGUUUGGGGGACAGGUCUGUUCGACCUUUAAUAGUUUUACAUGAUUUGAGUUCAAACCGGUGUGAG
rnacentral:rRNA from 1 species